AGUUUGAAACCUGGCUCAGGAUGAACGCUGGCGGCGUGCCUAAUACAUGCAAGUCGAGCGAACAGAUAAGGAGCUUGCUCCUUUGACGUUAGCGGCGGACGGGUGAGUAACACGUGGGUAACCUACCUAUAAGACUGGGAUAACUUCGGGAAACCGGAGCUAAUACCGGAUAACAUUUGGAACCGCAUGGUUCUAAAGUGAAAGAUGGUUUUGCUAUCACUUAUAGAUGGACCCGCGCCGUAUUAGCUAGUUGGUAAGGUAACGGCUUACCAAGGCAACGAUACGUAGCCGACCUGAGAGGGUGAUCGGCCACACUGGAACUGAGACACGGUCCAGACUCCUACGGGAGGCAGCAGUAGGGAAUCUUCCGCAAUGGGCGAAAGCCUGACGGAGCAACGCCGCGUGAGUGAUGAAGGGUUUCGGCUCGUAAAACUCUGUUAUUAGGGAAGAACAAAUGUGUAAGUAACUGUGCACAUCUUGACGGUACCUAAUCAGAAAGCCACGGCUAACUACGUGCCAGCAGCCGCGGUAAUACGUAGGUGGCAAGCGUUAUCCGGAAUUAUUGGGCGUAAAGCGCGCGUAGGCGGUUUCUUAAGUCUGAUGUGAAAGCCCACGGCUCAACCGUGGAGGGUCAUUGGAAACUGGGAAACUUGAGUGCAGAAGAGGAAAGUGGAAUUCCAUGUGUAGCGGUGAAAUGCGCAGAGAUAUGGAGGAACACCAGUGGCGAAGGCGACUUUCUGGUCUGUAACUGACGCUGAUGUGCGAAAGCGUGGGGAUCAAACAGGAUUAGAUACCCUGGUAGUCCACGCCGUAAACGAUGAGUGCUAAGUGUUAGGGGGUUUCCGCCCCUUAGUGCUGCAGCUAACGCAUUAAGCACUCCGCCUGGGGAGUACGACCGCAAGGUUGAAACUCAAAGGAAUUGACGGGGACCCGCACAAGCGGUGGAGCAUGUGGUUUAAUUCGAAGCAACGCGAAGAACCUUACCAAAUCUUGACAUCCUUUGAAAACUCUAGAGAUAGAGCCUUCCCCUUCGGGGGACAAAGUGACAGGUGGUGCAUGGUUGUCGUCAGCUCGUGUCGUGAGAUGUUGGGUUAAGUCCCGCAACGAGCGCAACCCUUAAGCUUAGUUGCCAUCAUUAAGUUGGGCACUCUAGGUUGACUGCCGGUGACAAACCGGAGGAAGGUGGGGAUGACGUCAAAUCAUCAUGCCCCUUAUGAUUUGGGCUACACACGUGCUACAAUGGACAAUACAAAGGGCAGCUAAACCGCGAGGUCAUGCAAAUCCCAUAAAGUUGUUCUCAGUUCGGAUUGUAGUCUGCAACUCGACUACAUGAAGCUGGAAUCGCUAGUAAUCGUAGAUCAGCAUGCUACGGUGAAUACGUUCCCGGGUCUUGUACACACCGCCCGUCACACCACGAGAGUUUGUAACACCCGAAGCCGGUGGAGUAACCAUUUAUGGAGCUAGCCGUCGAA
rnacentral:rRNA from 1 species